ACCAACCUUAUAACUUAAGGUUCUCUCUUUAAUAUCUACCAUUGUUUCUUCACUAGUGGUGAGUUCUAAGCUUCUAACUACUAAUUUUUAUUAGCUAUUUCAAAUUAUAUACAACAAUCCUAUGUCCAAAAUUUAGACUUUGAUAUUAUAUUUUUAAACUCAUGUAGAGUUAUCUAAAAUCAAGAGGGUCUUAUUAACAAAGUGAAUUAAUAUAUAUAUAAGAUAAAAAUCUCAAUCCACAACUAAAGUGAAACAUAUCAAUAGUUUUUAUCUAUAAAUAAAGUAAGAGAUAAAGAUAGAUGAGAGUGUUCAAAGAGGCAAUGAUGUCAAUAUAAGUUGAUAAUGCCAACAACACGAAUAUAUAAUAAAUAAGUUGACAAUCCGGAAUGCCACAAUCAUACCAAUUUCCAAACACUCUCAAGUAUACCAGAGUUUGUACUUACAUUAAAACUAGUUGAACAUGUGCCAUUGUGAUAGAUUUUUGACAUAGAUUUUUAAAAAGUUUAGUUUGUUGAUAUC
rnacentral:lncRNA from 1 species